rnacentral:rRNA from 1 species
CUUAUUAGUUAAAUUUACGUAAUUUUUACAGGUUAAUGUGCCUUUUGCAUCAUGCUUAAUAGAGAUUUAUGAGUGAUACUCUUAGUUCGAAAGGUUCAGAUCUCUUUGAAAGCUAUGUUAGAAGAUUAAGUCAGGUAGACAGUUUUUAGACUUUUAAAGUGUUGUGAUAAGUUAUUCGGUGUGCCUUAUAACUAAUUUAUAGCUUAUUAUUUUUAUUUACUAUCUCAGCUAGGAGGUUGUGGUGGUGUAUAUAUUCUUGUUUUUAUGUUAUUAAAAAUGGGUUAAAGUUACCUCUUUUUUAUAAAAGUGUUAUUACUUUAGUUUAUUUAUAUGAUUUGAAUUAUUUUUAUUGGCUAUACUAUAUAAUUGUUUGGGUUAGAUUAUUAUUAAAUAAGUAAUGUUUAGUAUAUUAAGUUGUUUCUAAAGUAUUGCCCGUCUGUUUAUCAAAAACAUUUCCAUAAGAUUGGUUUUUAUGGUAGUACCUGCUCUAUGUUAAUAUAAAUGGCCGCAGUAUCUUGACUGUGCGAAGGUAGCAUAAUUAAUUGCCUUAUAAUUGAGGGCUAGUUUGAAUGGUUUGACGAGGUUAUAACAAACAUCUUAUAUUUUUAUGAAAUUAGUAUAGAGGGCACAGAAACCUCUAUGUUUAAUUAGACGGAAAGACCCCGGGAUCUUUUUAUUUUGCCUGGGGCAGGUAUUAGUAUUUCACUUGUAUUAGGACCCUUUAAAAGUUUAAUGAGUUAAGUUACCCCGGGGAUAACAGUGUAAUAAUUUAUUAGAGAUCAUAUCGAAUAAAUUGUUUGCCACCUCGAUGUUGACUUAGAUAAAUAUGUUAGGCGCAGUAGUCUAUCAUUUUGGUCUGUUCGACCUAUUAUAUCUCCAUGAGUUGAGUUAAGACCGGUGUGAGCCAGGUCGGUUCUUAUCUAUUUAUCUUGUUUACUAGUACGAAAGGAUUGUAAACUGUUUUUUU